UACGAAGGUGGCGAGCGUUGUUCGGAAUCACUGGGCAUAAAGCGCACGUAGGCGGUGCCGUAAGUCGGCUGUGAAAUCCCUCGGCCUAACCGAGGAACUGCGUCCGAUACUGCGGUGCUUGAGGAUCAGAGGGGUGCAUGGAAUUUCCGGUGGAGCGGUGAAAUGCGUUGAUAUCGAGAGGAACACCAGUGGCGAAGGCGAGUCCCUGGACAACACCUGACACUGAGGCACGAAAGCCGGGGGAGCAAACAGG
rnacentral:rRNA from 1 species